GGGGGUGACUGGUUUCGACAGGGCAGACCUGAGAUGGGCAGCAGGCCGUGGUCUCCUCGCCACGUUAAACAGGGGUACCGUCAAAUUGAAUUGACGACAACUCUUAUCAGGGCUCUUACGCCCUCGCUGCUUAACUUUUAGCUAGCAGCCGUCAAUCCGCAGCAUGCUCCCGACUGCGGUGCGGCGUCAUCUGAGGGAGCUGCACUUCCGGACGUAGCGGGUAUGCCGGAAGCCAAGAUUGAACCGGCUGGGAUGCCGAGCGCAGGCCGGCGCGCGUGAGGCAUCCGAGAUUCAAGCACUGGCUGAGCCUGGAGACACCUGUCAGGGGUUUGUUUUGGACCGGAGUUCGACUCUCCGCACCUCCACCA
rnacentral:tmRNA from 1 species